UCUCAUGGCCUUAUGGGUAGGGCUUCACACGUCAUACAAUGGUCGGAACAGAGGGUUGCCAACCCGCGAGGGGGGCUAAUCCCAGAAAACCGAUCGUAGUCCGGAUUGCACUCUGCAACUCGAGUGCAUGAAGCUGGAAUCGCUANUAAUCGCGGAUCAGCAUGCCGCGGUGAAUACGUUCCCGGGCCUCUCAUGGC
rnacentral:rRNA from 1 species